UCACUUCACAUUAAGGCAGUGCGCGCUAUAUGGGGCGUGCCGGCUUCGGCUGGCUAUGGCGAUAAAUUGCGGUGUGCAAUAGACGCAGCGGACCCGGGGGCAGUACCCGGCGGCUCCACCAUAACUCCCGGUAUUUAACGGGUUUUCUGACGGGGCCGAACCAGGAUCGACGUGUGUUGAAAAGCAUUGUUUUCGCCCGGGCUGAGUAACCCGUUAAAGGCUCAAAACACACAAGUGCCAAUGAUAAUGAAGCACUCGCUCUUGCAGCGUAAUUUUACGGCCUAACGGCCAGAAUUUACAAAGCUAAAGCGCGGUUGGACCCACCGGGCAACAGAAGCGGAUUCCG
rnacentral:tmRNA from 1 species